GGAGUCUUCUCAUGAUAUCGGCUUUGGGAGACACCUUGCGCAAGUAACUCCUUCACCCUGCCAGCAGAAUAGAGUUCAGCAAGGCAACCAUGCGCUUCUGCAACAAGUGCCAUCCUGAACGCACAGAGCCCAAGUUGAGCCAUCGCUCUGUUAAAAAGUAUCUGAGUUGAAAUGUCCAUGUGCUGGAUAUUUUCCUGCAAGUGACUCAUCAAUAACAAGUCACGGGAUGUUGAAAACUCAUCCAAGAUAGCAUGGUGAUAUAUAUCACAGAGCAUUGCACGGGCCUUGGUUCGUUCAUCUCCAUAUUUAUAUAUGAGAGAAACGAGACUGUCCAUCAAUGUCCUGCUGUUCUCUUCAAAAGCAGGUUUCCUGGGCACAAGUUCAGGAGUUGCAAUAAAUGCAGAUGGACCUCUACUCUCCUCAACCACUUUGUUUUCUUCUACAGACUCUGCUUCUCCACCUUCUGUGAGCUCAGCCAAUUUCCU
rnacentral:misc_RNA from 1 species